rnacentral:rRNA from 1 species
UACGAAGGGGGCUAGCGUUGCUCGGAUUGACUGGGCGUAAAGGGCGCGUAGGCGGUUCGUACAGUCAGACGUGAAAUUCCUGGGCUCAACCUGGGGGCUGCGUUUGAUACGUGCGGGCUUGAGUGCGGAAGAGGGUCGCGGAAUUCCCAGUAUAGAGGUGAAAUUCGUAGAUAUUGGGAAGAACACCGGUGGCGAAGGCGGCGACCUGGUCCGAUACUGACGCUGAGGCGCGAAAGCGUGGGGAGCAAACAGG